rnacentral:pre_miRNA from 1 species
AGUGGAAUAGCUGAGUCAAAUGGUGGUUCCAUUCCAAGUUUUCCAAGGAAUCUCCAUACUGCUUUCCAGAUUAGUUGUUCCAAUUUGAAUUCUCAUCAACAAU